CGAGCCGGGCGGGCGGCCGCGUGGAGAUCCUCGGAUCUUCCCGAGGAACGUCCGGGCUCCACAGAGCAGGGUGGUGGCUAACGGCCACCCGGGGUGACCCGCGGGACAGUGCCACAGAAAACAGACCGCCGGGGACCUCGGUCCUCGGUAAGGGUGAAACGGUGGUGUAAGAGACCACCAGCGCCUGAGGUGACUCAGGCGGCUAGGUAAACCCCACUCGGAGCAAGGUCAAGAGGGGACACCUCGGUGUCCCUGCGCGGAUGUUCGAGGGCUGCUCGCCCGAGUCCGCGGGUAGACCGCAGGAGGCCGGUGGCAACGCCGGUCCUAGAUGGAUGGCCGUCGCCCCGACGACCGCGAGGUCCCGGGGCACAGAACCCGGCGUACAGCCCGACUCGUCUG
rnacentral:RNase_P_RNA from 1 species